rnacentral:misc_RNA from 1 species
CCGAGUUAGGGUCCUCACAGGCCCGACCUCACCAACCCAUUGUUUAUGAUACUCAGUGUUGCUUCGGCAGGCCUGGUCUUUGACCUGCCGGAAGGGCCGUAACACGCCCCCCGGAGAGCGCCUUCCGACGGCCCCAACUUCAAAAUUCUUAACUAAACAUGUCUUGUCUAAGUAAAGUCUUUAAUAAAGCA